rnacentral:rRNA from 1 species
AUACGUAGGUGGCAAGCGUUGUCCGGAUUUACUGGGCGUAAAGGGCGUGUAGGCGGAGAUGCAAGUCAGGAGUGAAAUCUAGGGGCUCAACCCCUAAACUGCUUUUGAAACUGUAUCCCUUGAGUAUCGGAGAGGCAGGCGGAAAUCCUAGUGGAGCGGUGAAAUGCGUAGAUAUUAGGAGGAACACCAGUGGCGAAGGCGGCCUGCUGGACGACAACUGACGCUGAGGCGCGAAAGCGUGGGGAGCAAACAGGAUUAGAUACCCUGGUAGUCCGUGCCGUAAACGAUGAAUACUAGGUGUAGGGGGUAUCGACUCCCUCUGUGCCGCAGUUAACACAAUAAGUAUUCCGCCUGGGGAGUACGGCCGCAAGGUUGAAACUCAAAUGAAUUGGCGGGG